rnacentral:lncRNA from 1 species
GUUUCCGAGUGAUGGUGAAUGGGCCUAUAGGGCCCAUUCUUUCACGUAAACCUUGCAACGUACUAACUUUUAAGUCACGUAGUCGCGUAAAAGUAUAGGCCCAUUCACCGUCACUCGAAAACCUCGCGGUGUCGACGGAGGGCGUACCGUUUGAGAUUGGCAUCGAACCAUGAGCAUUAUGUCAGUUUUUGAUCGCCUUCGCAUUGUGUCUUAAAAACACGGGAACGAAAUCUCAAAUCAGCUGAGAAACAAACGAAAUAUUUCAUGAAAUCACAUUGCAAACAAUACAUACAAUUACAUAAAAUAUUUCCUAAAUAAUUAGCUCCUCAAAAUUCCGUUUUGGCAGCCAAUGGAACAACUUUUAUCGCGCUCGUCGUGCGUGCACACCGGAUGGCUAGCCAGUGAUAUCGACACGCAGCCAUAACAGGAUCUUGUAGUUCCCAUAUCCUAAACUCUUAUCCUGGAUUUGCGAUGCGCAUAAUGAGAUGUCGGUUUACGUAUUGCACUUAUUGUAAACCGGUCGUAAGAGUCAAGGAAAUGCCAGCUCCUACAUCAUAUUUGUCCUCUAGUGAGGUGAAUUCACAGCCAAUCACAGGCAAGCGGAACGUAACGAGAGUAAUCUCUUAAUUAGCUUGGAAGUUAGAGUCUAAAUAGUUUUCAUAACUUGGGGCCAAAAGGUAAUCAAGCAGAAUGUUCAUGUAAAAGUCAAUGAUAGUGAAGCGAUAGUGAAAUCACUUAAAUGGAUCAAUCGAAUCAAUUAGGUCAAAGUGUGGAAUGAAAUCUUCAUCUCAAAGAUUAUUGGAAUCAAUUAAUAGAAAGUGAUGGGAGGAAUGAUUAUUCAAAGAUUUUACGAUCACUUCAUUGGAUCAAGAGCAGUCUAAAAAUGUGAGGAACGAUGGAUGACGUAACUUGCCCUUCCAUAAUGGGAAUCGCGUCCUCGUGAUCCUCAUUGAUAUCUACCAUGAUAUUUGCAUUGUUUAUCUUUGUUUUACAACAAAAGUAUAUUAUUGGCAAAAUAAUCAAUAUUGCGGUAAUGAUGGCAAUAUCUGUUAUAAUGCUUGUCCAGGUAAUUGUUUUGGAUUUAAAAUUUAUCUCUUCUAGGUUUUCCAAAUGUUUAUGAUCAACAUAUUACAAAGUCAAAUUACUAUAUUCCCCACAGCUUAUAUUCCUAAUUACAUUGGGUAGUAUGACGUUAUUUUCAAUGUAGUAUAUUUGAUUCUUAAACGUAAGGUUAUUUAUAUUUAUUUGAGAAUUUGUGUAUUUAAUCAAAUUAUGUCGUGGUAAUAUAAUAUUUUGGUCUUUAUCAUUUGAAUUUUUUGUAACAAUGAUAUUUUUCAUUUAUUUGUCCGACUUACUUGAAGGAGCGAUCUUUCCAUUCCCUAAGUGGGGUGAACUCAGACCAAAAACGGAUCGAUGAAUGAUUUCGAUGGCAACGCAUGCUAAACACGUCAAUGGUCUUUGGCAACCAUUUAUCAAUUUAUAUUUGUCGAACAGAUGGCUGUGUGCUGGAGAGCUCUUUGCUGAGACGAAGGGAUUUAUGUGUGCUAUUCGGGUCGGCGUGGUCGCCACCCGAGUUUAUGAAAAACGGGUGGCGAACGACCAAUGCAGAAUAUAUGGUUCGGCACUGGAGACUUUGGACCAUCUUAUUUCUGGUUGCACUAUAAUGGCGGCGGUGCAAUACACAAUGCUGCAUGUAAAGUGAUUAACCAAAGCUUUGCAUACAAACAUGGAAUGAUGACGGGAACAUGUCCGGUUUACUGAUAUGAGCCCCAGGCACUACCUAAUCGUCCUGUUUACAGUAUGUAUUGUUAAAACAAACCCGAUGUCCUGUUAGUUCAGAGACGGGUCGUUCUGCGCACAUUAUUGAUAUUGCUAUACCCAAAAACAGCAACAUUGAACGGAAGUACGUGGAGAAUACGGUGAACUAUGAGGCACUUGUUUGGAAAUCAAAGAAAUUUGGCGUCUCGAGCGGUUGGUUGUAGAUGCCAUAAUGCAUGUAUUGUACCAAAAUCCCUCAUGGCUUCCUCUGAUGUCCUGGAACUAUGCAAAAAUAUACCAUUCCACAUUCAUGCUCAAGAUUGCGGGGAGUUCUCGACGGAUUCUUCCAUACACCUACCACCGGCCACCACCACCAGCGCUCCUUUAUCUUUGAAGUAGGUGGGAUGGUCAGAGCCUAAAUGCUUGGUACUUAGUGGCAGUAUUAUAUGAAAUCCGUAACUUGCCUAGAUUGUGAAACCUCUAGAAAAUAAAUAAAUAAUGAGAAGAGUCUUUUUAUAGUUAUUUGUUUUUCCAAGUUAGAAGUGGUAUCACGAAUUUUUUUAAUCCACUAAUGUGAAGCAGAUAAGAAACUAGCGUUGAUCUUAUUCAACCACUUCUUGCCCAUCGCUGUCGAGCACUUAUCAAAUUAGUGAAGUUAGUUAUGUCCGCCAAUCUUCUCGCAACAAUAUGGCUGCUAGCUGUGAAUAUCAAAUUAAAUCUGUGUUUUCGCGUCUGCAACAUCAAGAUAAUGGUAAUCUUUUACAUAAAAUGUGGCUAUUACUGCAAAUAUCAUAAUUCAAAUUAAAUUAAAAUCUUACUAGCCGGGUGUUAAAGUUGCUUCUUUUGGGUCAAAUUGGUACCCCUUAGGAGAUGUCAACGGAUAUCCACUACUAGUUAUGUAGAAAUGAAAGCAUCGUAUACCCAAACAUUAUUACUUAAAAUAUCAACAAGAUCAUUCAUACCUGACGUACCGAGCUUCCCGUUUCCGACUUGUUCAACAUUCAGCACAAAAUCGAAUAUUUCAAGCUCGCAAUAACCAGUUUAUUAUAUUAUACAAUAAAUCGCGGGUCAAUUUCGGGCAAUUAUAAUUAUUAAUAUUAUUUCUUACCACAUUAAUAACAUAAAUGAGUAGAGUGCUUUUAUAAUACUACUACCUGUGAAUGCAAAAUUAAAGCUAUGAACGUGACAACACUUUUCACAUGUGCAACAUCAAAUAUUACCAUUAUCUUUUACAUUGCUAUUACUGCAAAUAUUAAGAUUGAAAUUAUCUGAGACGAUUGCAAAUGACGUCGAAACUCCAACAGUUGAAUAGUGAUAAACACUUGUUUCAGUAGAACCAUUUUUACUUUCAUUAUAUUCUUUCAAGUACUUCUUCGGGAUCGCGAUGAAUUUUUUGAGGCAAGUCGACUGAUAUCAACUAACACUGUUUAUACGAUCCGGAUAAAAUAAGUUUGUAUAUUUCAUAUGAAGCAUUUGUCGGAUAUGAAGCUCCUCACGGCAUUGUUAAAAGCUUUCUUCCGUUAAUUUCACAAUUAUGCCGAAUUCAACUUCUGGGAAUAUGACUCGAUGCCACAAGUUUAUACAACAAACCGGAGGGAAAACGUUAUUAUGAUGAAUAUUAUCCCAAUAGAUUUGUAUAACGAACUUGAAACAGGAUAUAUAUGAAGAUAAAUUUGUGUAAUCGUUAAUUAGUUUGAAGAUUCCAGAAAACCAAACGAAUUCAGAAAUUCAAGAAAAACACAGCCCGACGUAUUAUUCAUUGUAACGGUAUUCGAAUCCACGAAACACUUUCAAUUGCUGGAUUUUUAAAACCAAAGUGCAAUUUGUCGUAGAGCACCUUUAAUAAGUUCUCUCAAAAAGUUUCUUUCCUAUUUCCCACCAUACAAUAAACAACUCCAUGCAUACAACCACAUACACAUGUUGUGAUUGGCUAUUGAAUUCACCUCACUAAACGGAAACGUUUUUAAGUCCAAUGCGAAGGCGAUUAAAAACUGACAUAAUGCUCGUGGUUCGAUGCAAAUCUCAAACGGUACGCCCUCCGUCCACACCGCAAGGUUUCCGAGUGAUGGUGAAUGGGCCUAUAGGGCCCAUUCUUUCACGUAAACCUUGCAACGUACUAACUUUUAACUUUUAAGUCACCACAUUAAGUCAUUAGGAAAUAUGUGUUGUAUAUUUCCCUGUCGACUCAUUAGUAAAUAAGACGUAGUAUUUAAGGUGGUGUAGAAACGGAGAUCAGCAGUUCCUCGAGUACUACCAGAGCGUAAGCACUCUGGCUCUCGUGAAUGAAUAAAAAAGGAUAAAACAAAUAUCGUUUCAUUUGUUAACCCAUUUGUCAACUGUUACUUGUUAACUGGCGCCCAACAAAGGAUUUGAACCUAUCCUAUUCCUUGAUUAAUUUUUUCACGGCAAAGUUAUAGCCGGUAUAAGAGAGAGUGUAUAGCAGUGAUAAGUGGCAUUCUGGCGAGCAAUUAGAGACAGUUAAGUGUUAGUUAUAGUUACCUGUGAAAAUAUGUCGGUGCUAAUCCUAUGCCAUUACUGACCUUAUAAUCCGAAUCACUACGGAGAUUGUAUCUAAAAUGCAAUUUGAAGUGCAAGGGCAAAUCAAUGCAUUAGCCAUUGAAAGUCAAAAGAUUUCAGCGGAAGCAGAUGCCGCUUUAGAAACGCGAUUUCAGUUUGCACUCCAAUCGCAAAAAAAUGAAUUAUCUUCCCAAUUUCAUUCUGCUAUUCCUUCUAAAGUAACUGUGUAACUAGUAGUGGAUAUCCGCUGACAUCUCCUAAGGGGUACCAAUUUGACCCAAAAGAAGCAACUUUAACACCCGGCAGGUUUGUUAAUAAUAGUAAGAUUUUAAUUUAAUUUGAAUUAUGAUAUUUGCAGUAAUAACCACAUUUUAUGUAAAAGAUUACCAUUAUCUUGAUGUUGCAGACGCGAAAACACAGAUUUAAUUUGAUAUUCACGGCUAGCAGCCAUAUUGUUGCGAGAAGGUUGGCGGACAUAACUAACUUCACUAAUUUGAUAAGCGCUCGACAGCGAUGGGCAAGAAGUGGUUGAAUAAGAUCAACGCUAGUUUCUUAUCUGUUUGACAUUAGUGGAUUAACAAAAUUCAUGAUACUGCUUCUAACUUGCAAAAACAAAUAACUAUAAAAAGA